rnacentral:lncRNA from 1 species
UUGAACUCACAUGGUCUAGUGGUGUGACUUCUUUUGUUCAUGUUUAGGUGUAUGGUGUAGAACCAGCUGAAAGUGCAGUCCUGAAUGGUAGCAAACCUGGUGAGUUACUCUAGUGCCUGUGGCUUUUGUAGGUGAUGAAGGAGAUACUAAACACUAACCAAAGUAUUGCAGUCUAGUUUCAAUUAUUUAUGGUCAAAUCUGACUGAUGCAUGUAAUGAUACAUAAUAUGCACGCUUGUGUUGAAGGGAUGCAUCUGAUCCAAGGAAUUGGUGCUGGUUUCAUACCUCAAGUUCUGGAUGUUAGCUUGCUGGAUGAAGUUAUUCAAGUAAGUCUGGAAGUCAUCUGUACUGCUGUAAUGAUUAGACUUUAGAUGUGAAAUUGCUUGCUCUUAGUCUUACUUGUACGAUUGAUGGAUUACUUAAGGUAAGGAAUGGUAUAUCUUGUUUUUCAAUACAAGAUAUUUUUUCUUCCAGAAAGCUCAAAAAUUAACUUCACUACAGAUUCUCAAAGUUCUGAAAUAUACAAGAUCAUGACCAAGUUCCAAACACUUGUAACAUUGAAAGUACUGUCCGUACUGUUAUCUACUGACUAUUGUCCAUGCCAGAGUGUGUUGUCUUGCCUUUUAGAUGCCAAUAGUCCAGUAUACACCAGGAUGAACUCAUUUAUUGGUUGCUAAUGCUGGUGUUGAAUUUUAGGUAUCCAGUGAGGAAGCAAUUGAAACUGCAAAACUACUUGCGCUAAAAGAAGGUCUUUUGGUAUGUUCGUAUGUUCCAGAAGCAAUUAGUUGAACUUGUGAUUUUUGUUUCUGUAGACAUCAAUCUUUCAAAUACUUUGCAGGUGGGGAUUUCAUCUGGUGCUGCAGCAGCAGCAGCAAUAAAGUUGGCAAAGAAGCAAGAAAAUAAUGGAAAACUGAUAGUUGUAAGUUUUACUUCCUUCUAAAUGUUAUAUAUUUGUAAAUGGUGCUUGCAGAAUUUGGUUCUUAAACUCAUAGUCCUGACUUAGAAUUGUUGUUAUUAACUACAUCUUUUUCUCAUUGAUCCUCAUCUUCCAAUUGUACUCUUCUGCUUGGGCAGGUUGUGUUUGCCAGUUCUGGAGAGCGUUACCUGUCUUCGCCACUCUUCGAUGACAUUAGGCAUGAAGCAGAAAAUAUGAAGUUUGAAUGAUAGUGUUGCUGUGGUUCAUAAAAUGAUUUACUUAUGUUUGUUUCCUUUGGCAAUUGGAAUAAAUAAGGAAAAUGUCCAAGUCUGCAAGGCAAUAUGACCCUGUAGUGGUUCUUAUGCCUUUGCCUUCUUCAUAGAAUCCCUAUCAAUUCUAAACCAAUACUGUAAAGAUUAUAUAAGUUAAGGCCUGAAAUAGGUAUUCGUAUAGGUAUUCAUACCAGUUUGUAAGUAUGUAAUUGUACCACAUCGGAAGCAAACGAUACGUGGGAUUGAAUGUGUAUAUAACGCAUAUAUGUACCUCCGUCUUUUGGCUUUUUACAGUAGUAACUCUCAGUUUUUGGUGGUGUUAUUAACACACCUCUUUUUGUUAUUAACACACCCCAUUUAUAAUGAUAACCAAUCAUAAAAUAAACUGAAGUAGUAAGUUUGUAAAUAAAUUUGAAAUGUGUCGAUAAAAAAAUAGAUGAGGUGUGUUAGUAGCAAAAAAGUGUGUGUUAAUAACAUCACCUAUUUUUUGUUAAUAUUUCCCCUUUGUGUGGGCUAUGAGGGAGUCUAAGUGAUGGGCCAACUGGUAUGCCUUUGGGCGGGCCAGCAUAACAUGUGAUCCAAUAAGCCCAACACGAUCAUAAGUGGAAAACUAAACAUCUAAAUUUUAAAUAUAGAGAAAUUUUAAAUACACACCCCUAAUCUCUUAAUACACACCCUUACUAUUUUAUGUUUCUGUUGAGAUUUUAUAGGUAAGCUAAAUGAUCAAAACAUACAUCUAUUAUUAAAAAAAAAAUCACGCUAGAAGUAUUCUUUUCAACGUCUUCUACCCUAAAAUUUUCGAAAACAUGUCUUCUCCUCUAACCCUAAUUCUUCUCCACAAUUCAUUUUGGUUGUCUUUUUUUUUGUUGUAUCCGUAUCAGCUUUAAUUUGAUCUUACAAAUCAUAUUGUCAAGUACUGCAUCUUUAUCAGCUUUAGUUUGAUCUUGCAUAUCAUAUUGUCAAAUACUGCAUCUUUAUCAUGACAUGUUUUAUCGAAUAACUAGCUAUCUAUGUUUAAUAGCUACUGUACUUCUACAGUUGUGCUCUUGUGAAUUUUGAAAACUUGUAUUGGUGAUUUAGAGUUGAGAUAUAACAAUAAUCAUUUGAUUAUAAAUUGAACGAUGAUAACCAAAAAUUUCUAGCAAAAAUUAGACGAAAUAAUAUGUAAAAAGAGGUACCAAAUAGUAAAUAUAUAUUAAUUAUAUUAAAUAACGGAAUAUUUCAUAAAUUAAGGGCAUUUUAGACAGUUUGGGAUGUGUAUUAAGUAUAAUAUUGAAAUGAAAAACUUGAUAGGUAGUGUAUUAAGUAAGGGGUGUGUAUUAAGAUAUUAGGGGUGUGUAUUUAAAAUUUCUCUUAAAUAUAAAUGGUCGUAAAUUUAAAAGAAUCAUCUCAAGAUUAUAAGAAAUAAAUAAACAAAACUCUUCGGUAUAACCAGAGGGGGUUUUCAUCACCAUCAUAGCCGAUAUGGGACACUUGGUUUUCAUCUUCUAUUAACUCUGAAGAAGCUCGACGAGGAAACAUGUUGCAGGGUUGAGAAAUGAAAUAGAAAUAUCAAUCUUUGUGAGCUCUCCUCCACAUACGGGGGCAAGAUGACAAGCGAGCCACACUCAAGGUUAGUGUGAGCUUACCACUCCCCUCUUCAGAUUCUCAUAUAUGAUAUAUGAUACCAUAUGAGGGUCUUCCAGUAAGGAAUAAUAUUGCCUAAUUAAUUAUUAUUAUUAUUGAUAAUAAUUCUUUCCAAGAAAGAAAAGGCCAAAUCAAGUGGUGUACUAGUAUAAAUACAGCUCAUUCUCCAAUUUUUUUUUUAUGUACACCACUGCUUAUUACUUUGACAUACGAAUCUUCUAUACAUCAAAUGGAAAAGUUUGCUCUUAGAACGAUUUCAUGGGUGAUUAUAACCCUUCUGCUUGUUGUUUGUUGUAAGUAGUCUCACACUCACUUUCUACUACGCACAUAUAUAUAUGCCCGUCGUGCUUUGAUUUAUGGUAACUAGAGCUCGAUCUCUAUAGGACUAGCUCAAGUUCAAUAGAUGUAGAUGAUCUUUUAUUCUAAAUUUUGAUCAUAUUAUGACAAAAAUCCAAACAUGGACGAAAUAUAUUGAUUGAUUGUUCAAUUCGGUGCAGGCUUGCCAGUGUUGAAAGCUAAUGAAUAUACUGGUGAUUUUGAUUCCAGUGGGAUUGCAACGACAAUCAACAGCCCAACAGAUUCAGAUUGUGUUUAUAACCAGGAUUGCAAGGACGCCUGCCCAAAAGAGUGUAAUCCUAUGAAAUGCGGUGAAGGAGGACAUUGUCUAUGUUAUUGUACCUGAAGAAAAUUAUAUUGUCAAAUCAUGUACAUCAAUAAAAUAAUAAACAUGAGUUAUGGGUUUCUGUCUCCAAUUAAUCUAUCUCACAAUUGAUUGAUUUUUCUCAAUAAGUUUUACUUGGAAUGGAGUUUAGUCGUUUAUGAUUUUGAUUUGGUUCAUAACCACCAAACUUACCUAAAUGGAGCAAUAUCACUGUAUGAGCUCUAUUCUUAUUCUAGAGCUUAGUCUAGACUGCUUUGGACCAAAAGAAUACGUGUGAUAUGUCGGGCAAUGGUAGUUGUUAAUGUCUUUGUUUCAGGGAUAGGAACUGGGGGUACUGUAACCGGAGCAGGGAGCUUCCUCAAAGAGCAAAAUCCAGAUAUCAAUUUUGUGUAUAGAUCUCUUAUACGCGCAUGUAAAGAGAGGAGACAGAUAUUGAACUCACAUGGUGUAGUAGUGGUAGAACCAGCUGAAAGUGCACACUUAAAUGGUGGCAAACCUGGUGAUCGAGUUACUAUAAUGUCUGCGUUCUUAUUGGAAAAUGAGCGUUAAAGAUAAAGGAGAUUUUUAAGCACUAACCAAAGUAUUGUAGUCUAGCUUCAAUUAAGGGGUCAUAUCUGAUGAAGGUAUACAUUGGUAAUGGUUGAGACUUGAGAGCCGUAGGCAGCUUGCGUAGUUUGUAAACAUCAGAACUUGGCUAUCCCACAUCGAAUGGAAAGAAUGGGCGGAAGUGAAUGUAGUACCUCGGUCGUUUUGCUUGUUUACAGAAUUUCCUCUAUAUGUGGGCUAGGUGGAGCCUUUGGGCCGCGAGGCGGUGGGCCUGUUGGUACAUUUUCUGGACGUGCUUUUCAUCAAGAUUACGGGACCAGUACAUUUAUAUAUACUGCCAAAUAGUAAUAUUAUUACCAUAUAAGAGUGUUGCAAUAAGGAAAUAAUAUUGUCUAAUUAUUGUUAGUUUUGAUCAUAAUAAUUCUUAAUUACCGAGUGUGUUCCAAUAAGGGAAUAAUAUUGCGUAAUUAUUAUUAGUAUUGAUCAUAAUACUUCUUUCCAAAAAUAUUUAUUAGUAUAAAUAUUGUUCAUUCUUCAAUUUUUCCUUGUACACCACUGUUUUUUAGCUUGAUAUAACGCUCCUAUAUAUCAAAUGAGAAGUUUUCCCUUAAAUCGAUUUCAUGGGUGAUCGUGACCCUUCUGCUUGUUGUUUCUCGUUAAUGUAUUAUCCCACUCUCUUCUUAUAUAUUAUUCACAUACAUGCACGUAUUACAUUGAAAUUCUUUUUUUCUUUUUUGCAAUUGAUUGAAUUAUUAAGAUCGUGUCAAAUUACACUUGUUUUAUGGUACCUAGAGCUCGAUCUCUAUUUGGUUAGCUCAAGCUAAUGGAUACACUAGUGAUUUUGAUUCUAGUGGCCGGGAUUGCAACGACAAUCAUCCCAGAUGGUUGUAUUUUUAACAAGGAUUGCAAGUACGCCUGCCCACCAAUAUUGAAUAUUGGUCCUAAUUAAACUCAUUUACCACUACAAAUUUAUCUUAAAAGAUAAUUAUCCCUUCAGCUAAGGCAGCUUGAAACCCUAGGUUUCGAGAGCAAGGCGGCGGAGACUUGGGGAGGCUUUCGACUGCUGCAAGACGUCUCCGACGUCGGGCUACGUAAGCGAGUGGAGGAAGAGGCGUCGUUAGUGUCGACCCUUUGGAGCGGCGAAGUUUCUUUUCGGCGUCAGACUCCAGAUCUGAUUUGGUGUUUCAAGAACAAGGGCAUCAGUGUUGGUUGGGGGUGUUUCAAGCUUCCCAGGCAAGACGGAAGGCCGGCGCGGCUUUGAUCUGAGAUUAGAGGCCGACUUCUUGUCGAGGCAUGAGGUUUUGAGUGCAAAGCGUCAAGGUUGAGGUAUCUCGUUCUAGUAGGAAGGGCGGUGCGGCGGCUGCAGUAGGUUUCGCAAGUCAAGAGCGGCAAAGCAGUAGCGACUCAGAUCUUCAAUUGAGGAUGCCUAAAAGCCGAGGUUGCCCACCGGAGCGGUAAUGGGUUGUUCUGUGGCUCUGGUAUGUAGGAUGGGAGAGAAUGAGGGAGAUGGGCCUUGGGCUUAGCAUUAUGGGCCGUAUGGGCUAAGGGGCUGGUUGGGCUUUUCUUCUUUUUUCUCUUUUCUUUCCUACAAAUUGGGCUUUUGUGUUGAUCUGAAUCUAACUCGACGUUAAUUCGAAAUUGCUCACUACUUUGACGUGUGGAGGGGUACACCAUAUAGGUCUCUUGGCCCCAAGCUACUCAAAGCGGUUGUGGAGAAUUAGGGUUGUGUUGUUAGUUUUAUGCAUUUUUACUGUUUUUAGCUUUGGAUUGUCCGUCUUUUUGGACGUUAGUUUUAGUAUUUAGUUUCUUCAAAUAUUGGCUCUUUGAGCUUAUAUUGGAGAUUAUAUCUCCUGUUUGACCAGACGUAAGGAGUGCAUUGAAGGCUUGUCUCCUACAUGACCGUUGGUAGUGUUGGCUUUUGCUGACGUAUGGGCGUCUUGCCCAAUGAAGUUAUCUAUUUCCGUAAAAAAAAAAAUAAUAAUAAUAAUUAUCCCUUCAAAUUCCUGAUGAAAUAGCUAUACUUGUAUUUAAAUAUUAAAAUAAAAUAAAACACAACAAAUCAUUGUGCAAAGCCUAUGUUGGGUUUCCUCCUUUGCCAUGCAUGCACCAUCGACGACUUUCUCACAAACCUCGCAACACUAGAUCUUACUGAGAUAUAUAUAACGUGAGAUCAGAAUAGGGGCGUCAUCAAGGCGUUCAUAUUCAUGGCAACGGGCAACGGGCAACGUGUAUAUAUACUUGACUUCAUGGAUAUAUUACCUUUGAUGAGUUUGAUCUCUAUCAUAUAUAUUCUAGUGCUAAUAUAACAACAUUUCCAAACUACUACACCAAAUUACAUGAACAUACAUCAGUCAAAAAAUAAUACCACUGUAAAAUUCCAUAAACAAUAAGAACAAUGAAACCUGAGUUUUUAGUACAAAGAAAUUGGAAAUCACUAACCAAAUAGGUUGAAAUUUAAGCCUUAUAUACUUUUUCUCGUACAAAUAUAGCCAGGUUUGGCCGACAUGUUAUUAUACAGGCCUCAGUCAUCAUAUAUAAUCACGAGUAUGAACUCAUUUUUAGUUCUUUUUCAGUCUUAUAUAUACGUCCAGGCCUUUUUUUGUCGUAUUGUUAAGGGAUAGCUAUAGUGAUAUAAAUAUAUAAGUACAUAUAGAUCUUCCAUCUGAAGCCUUCCUUGAGAUGAGGCCUAAGGCGGUCGCCUUUACUGCCUGUGUCAAUGGCCGGCUCUGGCUGCACUAGGACGACGAUUGGGUUCAAUAUAUUUGACAAACACCCAGCAGCCUAUUCCUAAUGACAAACAAAGCCCCGCAGCGACAGCCGCCGUUACCCAAACCGGAACAGUCAUCGGCCCGAAAACACAGAACAUGUAGCAGCAGAAGCCGCCAAAUUGAUAGAGUGUGCUGCGCAACUCAGAAAGUAUGUCCAGCUCCUCAUUCUCUGGUUCAUCAGAGGUACUCUUUCUCUUUGGUUCAGAGGAGGAGGAGGAGGAGGUCUGUUUUUUUGGUUUAGAGUAGCAGGGCUUGUUAUUGAGUCUUAAUAGAGAAGCGUUGAACACUCUCCGGGCAUGUGGAUCCAUGAGUGUCGCAUAGGAAGAUUGGAGCCUUUGAAACUUGGCAUUGGCAUUGGGAUCGUUUGGCCUCUUGUCUGGAUGCAAUUGCAAAGCCUUUCUUCGGUACGCCUUUGUAAUCUGUUUAUCGUUAAGCUUGAUGCCUUCUUUACCCGACGGUAGAUCAAGAACCCUAUAGUGAUCGCUCUCAACUUUCAUCUUCUCCUUCGAAUUGGCCUAGCUAGGAAAUUAGAACUCUGUUAAUUUAGGACUCAAGUUAUAUGAAGUAUGAACUAUUGGAUAAAGAAAUAGGAAAGAUAAUCGUAGAACUGUUUGUAUGUUAUUCGUUGAUAGGAGUCAUUUAUAUAGAGAAUUACCGUACCUCUUUUAGGUAUUAUACAAGGAACAUAAUCCUAUACUAGCUUGGUAACCUAUCAUUACAUGGGAUCAUGAUUCCUGAUCCUAUUAGCAUUAGAGCAAGUCAGCAAGGCACACACAUGUGGAUAUUCUAUAACAUGAUAUACAACUUUAUCUCAAUACCGAACUUUGAAUAUUAAAACUUGUUUACCCUUGAAAAUUUAUCUUAAAAGAUAAUUAUCGCUUCUAAUUCCUGAUGGAAUUAAUGCUAUACUUGUAAUUAGAUAUAAGAGAAAAUAAAAUAAAAUACAAAAUUGGAAAGUCUAUUUUGGGCUCCUCCUUUGCCAUGCACUAUCAACGGCUGUCUCACAAACCUUGCAAACAGUGGAUCUUACUGAUAUAUAACUAGUUAAUCAGCUUUGCAAAAUACAAAAUAAAAAAAUAGUUAUUCAAAUUAUCCAUGCAUGUAUCCAAAUUCGGAAACGAUAAGAAAGAUGUAUAUGCCUGUAUGGAGUACAUGGUGGACUGGUCGUUGAGUUACUAAGCCCCUCCAAAAGGACCAAAACAUAUACGUACGGAUUAAAACCGAGAAUGGAACCUUACUAGAUCGACUAUAUGGAACAGUGUGAAUUGAUCUAAGAGUGAGACUAACUAGAGCUCGAUCUAUGUUGGAUUAGUUCAAGAGAUCAUUAGACGAUGAUUGUGACUCUUUUUAGUUUUAAUUUUGAUCACAUUAUAGCGAAUUUUCAAAUAUUAAUGAAAUAUAUUGAUUUUUAAUGAAUUCGAUGCAAACUUGCCAAUAAUGAAAACUAAUGGAUACACACUGGUGAUUUUGAUCUAGUGAGAUUGCAACGGCAAUCAUCCAAGAUGUUUGUCUUUUGAACAAGGAUAGCCAGUUCGCCUGCCCAAAAGAGUGCAAUCCUAUGAAAUGUUUAGGAGGACAUUGUUUAUGUAGAUGUAGUUGAAGAAAAUUUAGAUUGUCAAAUCAUGUUUACCAUUGCGUACAUCAACACAAAAAUAAACAUGAGUUAUGGGUUUCUUCACUUUCUUGUCUGAAAUCCCUCCUUCACAAUUUUUUGUAUUUUUCUCAAUAAAUUUUACUAUUUACUUGGAAUGGAGUUUCUGAUUUUGAUUUGGUUCACAACCACCAAAUAAUUCAAAUGGUGUGGUCAUUGGUUAAGACUUGAGAGGUCUAGCAGAAACUUACCUAGAUGGAGAAACAUCAUUAUGUUAUUAGCUAGUAACACUCCUCGUAUUAUUUACCAAUUGUUCCAUGUAGCCAUGUAGGAUUGUGCAGUGGAACUUUUGUGUCAUUCAUCGUUCUUCUUUGAAAGAUGGCAUAUCUCAGUAGUGAAGUUUUAGAGAAUAAAGAGUGUUACCUGUUUUCGCUAGUACUCUUCGAUACUAAUAUUGACAGAGAUAGAAAAUAUGAAGUUUAAUUGAUAGUGUACGUUAGGUUUCUUAACCUUAAGUGCUUGUUUGGUACAUGAGACUAAAUGGUAUUGUAUUAGAUAAGAGGUGCUAAGUAGUUUGUCCUGUGUUUGGUGUGAGUGAGUACAAAAAAAUGGUACUACAUAGCGCCUGUUUUUGCUCUCAACCUCCUUAGGUGGUGUUAUUGUUGUUUUGGUCACGCGUCUCAGCAGGAGUAGAGUUGUAACUCCGGUGACGUCAAAAGUAAAAAACGAGGUUGCGGGGCGUACCACCGCGCGGGCGCGGGAUGAGUGCGAUGUGCUAGACUUCUAAUCAAGCGAAAGGGUUUCCGGUGCCACCUCGCGGACGAGGGAUUACGAGCAAACCUCUGUUCACCUGUAAAUUGAUACUCACUGUUAGAGCGAGCAGAGCAAUAAUCAGGAAAAAAGGGCGAGUCCGAACGGGCUCUGUAGACCAAAGCGAAAGGUGCUUUAGUAUCUAGGGUUUCGAGAAGCUCGAGAGUUUGUAAGUUUUGUAUGAUUUGAUUGUGUGUUACUGGAUGUAUACUCAGCUAUAAUCAAGGAAUACAAAUCCUAUAGACCUUCUGACCUUCACAUGCACGAUAGUCCUUUAAACAAUUAAGGAUAUUGCUCUUAUCCAAUUGAGACAUUGCAGGCGGAGUCCGCGUCUUUCCUUCUUUCAUGCGAAUUCUCUUCUUGUUUCCUGGCGAAGUCUCCCGCGCAAAGGCAUCUCGCCUCGCUCAAUCUUCUACGUGAAGUCAGUCCACUUCUUGAUCCCAUGCAAAGUCCUUUUCGCAUGCGAACUCUGCUACCCAGCUCACAUGACUCUGCUGGCGGACCAUCACUUGUAAACUUAAUAUUUCGGGCUCGUCGGUGUGGAUCAUGAAUUUCAUUAAUAUUCACAUAAACAAUUAUUGUCCAGUAAAAUAUUAAUUUAGGUGUAAACAAUUGUGGGUACUCAUUUUUGAGGUCCCAAAAUAACACCAUCUCUCUCCUUCUUCUCUUCAUCUGUGACUUCACUUUCUCUCCCAAGACAAUCAACUAUUUGAACUUCUUCUCUCAAGAUGGCUGUCGAAAACCCAUAAUCUUUCCCUCCCAAAAUAACCAGUCUUGUCAAGCCUCCUCCUGCCAAAAACUUAAUUAGCCAAAGGAGGCGUGAAUCUGAAACAGAACCUUGUUGCUUCGUCGUCCUCCUUUCUCGUCAACAAUAGUCGCCGAUAGCCCAACUUCCGAGCUCUUCAUUGAAGGUUUUAAGAGGGUUUAGGUUGGGAAGCUUCUCAAUCAACGAUUCCACAUCGCCACCUUGCCGCACUUCUUCAGGAGCUCGCAUAAACAAACACCGGCCAUUGAUGCAGAGGAAGGAGGAAGAGGAGCUUUCGUGGGUUCAGGUUUUGGGUUUUGGGAUUUUAAGAGAGAAGAGUUGAGAUCAAUCUUGAAUCUGGGUAUUGCAAAUUUUCUGAUGAAUUUUUGAUCUAGAACAAUUUAUGAUGAUUGAGGAACAAUCCCACCUUAGAUUGUACUGCAUCACCCAACAUGGUACAAGAAAGUAUUGAGUAAGCCUACUCAAAUAAGAGUAGGACAUGUACUAACAAUCGAGUGACCCAGAAUAAUACUGGGUACCAAACAUGCACUAAUUGCCUUCAUAGAACCCCAAUCAAAACUCUUCAGAGACCAGUCAGUUUGUAAGUAUGUAUUUCUACAAUUGAUCACGUGUUAUACUUCUAUGCUGGUUAAGAAUAGGAAGACCAACCUUUUUUUUUUUUUUUAAAUGAAUAGGAAGACCAAAUAUUAUUAAUUAGAUGGACAGCUGUAGCACCACGCAAUGGCUUGUCCCACGGUACCGUUUCUCUUGGGCCGUGCAAUAGUCCAAUAGUCUAGCCCAAUAUGCUUAUUUGCUGGUUAGUUAUGGGGCGGGUGCGAGGAUUUUUGGCGGGAAAAAUUCAAAGGGUGUGAAAUACGCCCUACUUGUUUGGUAAAUGGCCACGGGGGUAGGCUACCUCAGGUAGCUAGGGAGAAGAGAGUUUGAUUAUGAAGGUGGGAUCUUAUGCGCCAAACGUACUCUGAGGCUGAGCUAUGUAUGUGGCAUCGAUGAAUUGGGCCGUCCAUUUUUGUCUGAAAUUUUGACUAAUAUUAUGAUUAAUAUUUCAGUUUUUUAUUUUAUUAUUGAAUGCAUGUAUUUACUUUAACGGUGGGCAAAGGUCAAAGUAAAAAAAAUAACCAUAAAAUAGUGAAUUAUGUGUCAACAAAGACAUUUUCUAUUUACUGUACAUCGAGAUAUGAAUUGCCCGAAUUUCUUGGUUCGGUGAAUACUCAACGUACAAAAGUCAUUUUCUUAGUAAGUAGUGACUAAAUCCUAUGUGCUAAUCUUCAAUUUAAGAUCAUCAAAGUGUCAAACAGCUAUGCGACCUUACAAUCUACAUUUAGGCAUGCAUAAUUGCCUAAAAUGUUUCUCCUUUUUAACAAUAUUUUCAAUUAACUAGUUCCAAUUCUUUUUCUCUGCUUAUGUUCAUAAUUGUCUAAAUUUAAGCCUUCUUGGUUUACUUCUGCAUAUUGUGUCUGGCUUGACAUCAAGGUCGAAAAGCUAGAUUAAUUACCCUUUAUGUUAUAUGCUUAGUAUUCUGCUUCUUAUAUAUGGGUGGACAUCUAUAUAUGGUAGCUAGACAUAUAUAUACGUUGAUGGCUGGGUACGUACGUACCCUACACCAUUGGGACAAUAUAUUACGUACCCAUAAGUUCAUUUGAGAAGAUGUCCCUUAUUUGCUUUCAUAUAUUUGUGGGUAACUUGGUUUGUUAACUAAUUUGUUAUUUCUGUAGUGGACGAACUUGGUUCUAUCGAGCCAUUGAGGGAAUGUAGUAGGUGUUGAACUGCGCGGUUUUUCUAGCUGGAUAUAUAUUUGCUUGAUCGAGAUCGAAAAGAAAGAUUAAAGUUCUAUUAGAGUGAAUUCAAGACUAUUUCACCAAACUCGAAUCAUGGAUGUUCAUGUAUAUAUGUAUUUAUCUAUAUGUGAAGCGAAGCGUUACUAACUAAUGAAUAUACAACCUGGGAACCUCCCUACUCCCUACUCCCUAGUCUCUUAAUAACCAGAUAUAUAUGCAUGAAGCCGGACAAUAUUACUCAACUUUUUGCAUUGUCGUAUCCCAGAGAUAAGAGAAUUGACAGAUAAAAAUGUUUCGAAUCAGGUAUGUCAUACAAACGAAUAAGGUGUUAAAUAUUUAUCGCAAACAAAGAUUAACGAAUAUUUAUUUAUCUCAAUGAAACGGUAGAAAUUAUCGGAUUACUACACUUAUAAUGUCAUACAUAUACGUACAGUAUAGUACAAGUUCUGAAUUGCUAGUUGCUAGAAAAGAAAAGGAGUAGAUAUUUAUCGAUUGAUGUAGGUGAUGCAUGGUGUUACUUGUUGCUGCAUGAAUAUAAGUGCCAAACCGCCAAUUUUUAAUGUAUGCGAAUGUAUACGUAUAUGUACGUAUACGUAUACUAGAUGAAAUUGGCCCCGUGUAUAUGAAGUGGGAAGCCAUGGGUGGACGUUUAGAGGGAGAGAGAUAGAGGCAUGGAGAAAUUGCAGGGGUUUGAAAUAGUGAGGAGCUAGGGACCCAGGUUUAAACGAGUCGGUUAGUUAUGACUUAUGAGGACUUUUGGCGGGAAAGUACAGGGUGUGAAAUGCUCUCUGCGUGGGUGUAAAACGAAGGUAACGAGAAGAUUCGUUAGAUUGAAAAACGUGUGAUCUGCUACGACGCACGCACUCUAGCUUCCUACUGCUAUCGAAUAGACUUUAGUAAAAAAAAUUCAAAAUCUAACCGCCAUUUAAAGGAGCUACAGUGUUGUAGUGUACACCCCCCUGCUCAACAAACCGGAAUUAAGCUCUCUCUCUCUCCUCUUCCCCCAAUUUCCACUCCCACUCACUCUCUCACUUUUCACCUCUAUUUUCUCUCUCUCCUAUCACUGAGAUUCCAUGUCCGACGACGAGUUGCCGGAAUUCGAGGACUUCAACGUCGGCGGCGACGAAGACCUGGAUUGGUGUUUCAUAAGCACAGAUGACACAAUGGACAGUGAUUUGCAAGACGACUUGCCGGAAUCCGAGGACGUCAACGUCGGCGGCGACGAAGACCUGGAUUGGUGUUUCAUAAGCACAGAUGACACAAUGGACAGUGAUUUGCAUUUCCUCGGCCGACUCUACGACGACGAGGUCGGAGAGCCGGCCGUGGAUGACGAGGACUGGAUUUUUGUCAAACAAGGAGUGCCGGAGGAUAAGACCGCCUGCGGAAGCAACACAAAGCUUCUAGGUGGUGCGGCCUGCUCCAUGAUCAACGACGACGCCGUCAUCGACGUCGUCGAUGAGAUCGGAAAAGAGGCCGGGUUUCCGGUGUCUUUCUAUUGCCAAAUCCCAAGGCUGAUUACUUGUGUUCGCGCUCUCGGCAAUAAAUCGGAGAAAGAUGCGCUAACGAUCCUUUUAUCGACUUUUAAACACGUAGGCUUUGCCACCUUCGGCUACUACAUGUACACUCUCGUUUGUACCGGCGGAUUUACCGUCGCCGGAGCGAUGGCUUUUGGAUUUAAGUGUGGUGUGAUGAAAUCGGCGUUUCUGGCAGCAUCGAAGCCUAAGAAGGGCAUGGAUGAAAAUUUCAAGGUAUUAUUGGGGUUUUCUGUAAUUGCUGCAAGUUUCUUGUCGUAUUUCUUUUGUUUCGUUUUUUUACAUGCGUAUGCAUUCGUGGUCUGCAGAGGGACAUCGCCGCCGAAGUUCAGGAGAGAGUGGAUGAGGCCAUCAAGCAAUUGAAGCUCUCUGGAAUCGAAUUGAGAGAUGACAGGAGAGAUGAGAUCUUCCAAUUCAUGGAGGAGUUGAUGGCGGAGAGAGACGCGGCCGAGAAAAGGUUUAAUUUCACUCUUUAUAUGUUUCCGAUUCUGAAAUGUGUAUAAAUUUUAGGUUGUAGCGUUUAGGUUAGUCGUGGUGGCGGUGCAGGAGUGGAUAGGUUGGUGGUGGCGGCGGUGGAGGUGUGGAUAGGUUGGUGGUGGCAGCAGUGGAGGAGUGGAUAGGUUGGUGGUGGCGGCGGUGGAGGUGUGGAUAGGUUGGUGGUGGCGGCGGUGGAGGAGUGGAUAGGUUGGUGGUGGUGGCGGUGGAGGUGUGGAUAGGUUAGUGGUGGCGGCAGUGGAGGAGUGAAUUGUGGUGUGUUGGUGGUAAGGAUUCAGGCGGCUAAGGCGGUUUACGAGCUGGGGUUUUGAGGAAAUGUGGUGUGUUGGGGUGAGGAUUCAGGUGGUUAAGGCGGUUUACGAGUUGUGGUUUUGCUCGAGAACUAGGAAGGAGAUGGGGGAAUGUGGCUGCAUCUCGCCUUUGGUGGAGAUGUUGGAUGGAAGAGAAGGAAGCCACUGCCAAGGUCUUGUUGGCAUUGUUGCUGAUUGCUUUUGUUUCUGUUGAGUAUUUCAGAAUUUUCCUCUAAGUAUUUUACCUCAUUAGGAGUGGAUAGGUUGGUGGUGGUGGCGGUGGAGGUGUGGAUAGGUUAGUGGUGGUGGCGGUGGAGGAGUGAAUUGUGGUGUGUUGGUGGUGAGGAUUCAGGCGGCUAAGGCGGUUUAUGAGCUGGGGUUUUGAGGAAAUGUGGUGUGUUGGGGUGAGGAUUCAGGUGGUUAAGGCGGUUUACGAGUUGUGGUUUUGCUCGAGAACUAGGAAGGAGAUGGGGGAAUGUGGCUGCAUUCCGCCUUUGGUGAAGAUGUUGGAUGGAAGAGAAGGAAGCCACUGCCAAGGUCCUGUCGGCAUUGUUGCUUUACGCUGACAAUAGGAGAUUCCUUCUUAAAAGUGGGAUUAACUGAUUGCUUUUGUUUCUGUUAAGUAUUUCUGAAUUUUCCUUUUAAGUAUUUUACCUCAUUACUAUUGUACAAUGUUGACUGCGCAAUGAUUUUUUUUUUUUUCUUGUCAGAGUACUGCUUCCCAUCAGAGCAUCACUAAACAAUAGAGUAAAGAUUGUUGCUGAAAGUGUAAUUCAAGUAACGACCAAGGAUGGUGAAACCUUGCUUUUCAGUCCUCAGGAGAUCAGUAAAUUCAUUGGAAAGAAAGUCAAGGCCGCUGUAGUUACUGAUCCUGGUGAGUCCUGUUUACAUUGGUUUAUCUUUACAUCCUUCUGUUUACAUUGAUUUAUAUCAAUCAUGAGUUCAUGACCGACAUUGUUUUCGUUGUGAAUACCAGCAGACUUCAAUGAUGCUUCGAGUGGUUUGGACAAGAAGGAUGGAGAAACAAACAUCCUUGUCUUUGACCUUAGUGGUGGUACUUUUGAUGUCAGUAUUUUGACUAUUGAUAAUGGUGUCUUUGAUGUUCUUGCCAGAAACAGUGACACUACUUUGGGAGGUCUGUUAGUUUUAUACUCUUCAGUGAUCUUGUUUACUGUUUUCGCAGAGUUAAUGUGUGGCUAAUUGCAUGAAAUGCUUGCUCUCUUUGCAGGUAAAAUGAUUCACCAGAGUGUCAUGGAGUACUUCAUCAAGUUGAUCAAGAAUAGAAAGUACAUCAGCAAGGACAACAGAGCCCUUGAAGCUGAGCGGAAUAGAGCCCUCCUUGUUGAUAUUGAAUCAUUUUUUGAAAAAGAUUCUUCUGGACCCCUGACAGCUGAGGAAAAUAAUGACUUGUUCGGUAAGACCAUGGGACCAGUGAAGAAGGCCAUGGACGAUGCUGGCUUGGGGAAGCACCAGAUUGAUGAAAUUGUGGUUGUUGGUGGAACCUUCAGGCUUGGAAAGGUCAAACAGCUUCUUACGGAUUACUUUAAUGGUGAGGAACCAAACAAGGGUGUGAACCCCAAUGAGGCAGUUGCUGCAAUACAAGGAAGCAUUUUGAGUGGAAAGAGUGGUGAAAAGACCAAAGGUAAAGUAUUUGUUCCUUGCUGCUAUGUGAAGUAUUAUAACCUAUUAGCUUGUAAUAUAUGAUUCCGAUUAAUGCAGAUCUUCUCUCUGCCCGUCUUUCCCUUGGUAUUGAGACCGUUGAUGGAGUGAUGACCAAGUUGAUCCCCAGAAACACUGUGAUCCCAACCAAGAGGUCCCAACUGUUCACUACAAACCAGGAUCAGCAGACUACCGCCUGCAUUCAGGUAUUGCUCUUUGCGUAAUCCAUCGUUGGUAGAUGCUUAGUUUACUGAUUGUCUGAGAUUUAUUUAUAGUGGACUAAUCUUAUUUGGAUGCUCUCAAAUCUCAGGUCUAUGAGGGUGAAAGAAGUCUGACAAAGGAUUGUAUGUACAUCGGAGGGUUUGACCUUACUGGAAUUCAUCCAGCUCCAAGGUUUGUUUCUGCUGUACAGUUCUUUUCAAAUUAUUGCCGGCUUACUGGUUGUAGAGAUGUAAUAGUAUUUCAUUCAUCAUUUGAACAGGGGUACUCCUCAGAUUCGAGUCACAUUCGAAGUGGAUGCCAAUGGCAUCCUGAAUGUCAAGGCAGAAGACAAGGGGACUGGUAAAUCUCGGAAGACCACAGUCACAACUACAAGGGUCUGAGCCCUGAGGGGUUCGGUGAGGAGGUCAAGGCCAAGCUCGAUGGUUAGAAGCAGAAGAAAGAGUGAGAAGAUAGAUUCAGGUUUCUACUUUCAGAAGAGGUCAAGGCCAAGUUGUAAAUGUCAAAAUAACCAACCUAUUAGCUUUUGUUAAAUUCAUCAGAAUUGGCAUUUCGUAUUGUUACCAACUAUUUGACCAAGUAGUACUUUCUCUUUUUACUGGCCUGAACAUCAGAGUAUCCUUCGUCCCUAUAAUCAGUAUAAUGUUAACUUUCUAGUUUAAGGCUAUCAUCAGUAUCUUGUGGUGCAUGUCUUUACAUUUAUAUUAUGGGAAGGUCAGUGGACAUGCUUGGAUGCUCGUCCUUUGGUACAACUUCAUCAAAGAGUUGUCAUGGGAAAGUUUGCAUAAUCUAUUACAUUUACCCCAAUUUUGAUCAAAGCACCAGUCGCACAUAAAGCUACCAUUACAUAAUGUUAAACUCAAAAUUAUUCGCUAGCUCUCCUUUCCACUCUUUUCUUACUGUAUUUGUACAGCAUGCAGCACAAUUCCUUUCCCAGUUAGAAGUGAGGAACUGGAAUCUUCAGUGGCCAAAUGUGCAGCUCUCUUUCCAUCUCCAAAUCUUCAACUGCGUGCAACCACAGAAGAAACUAAUUUUCAAGGGUUUAUUGUUGAGCGUUCAGUGAGAAUAAUUCCUUACAGGAAAAAAUGUUAGCCACUCUUCAAGUGUCAUCAGACCCGGCACAAAUUGAGUUGGAAAUGAUGCAGAUCCCUUUUGGUCAGUUUGGAGAGAAGGGGGUUUUUGUUCAGAAGUAAAUGUCAUGAAGGGUUACAUUUACCUAUUGGAGACACUAAUGAGAGUGUCAAAGAACAUUGGACCUGUGUGAAAGAAGAUGCAAGAAAGCAGCUGGCAGUGCAAUGGAAAGCUAGAAUGACAGCCGAUAAGGGCAACUCGUUGGAGAUUUUACUAUUUUUGUCAAUCAUCUUGGGGUGAUUUCCCGGCAAAGACAGGCUCUAGAACCAUGUCAAGCAGUUGGUUUUGCAGAUAAGAUUCCUGGUAAUUUUCUUGAAAUUUGGCUUUCUUAGUGUGCUCUAUCUUCUGCACUAUUAUUGCCCUUAUUUAGUUUUUGAUACGAUUUAUUUAGUUCUACAAGUAACAAUAUAAAGCCAAUAGGUGUCCGUAACUAUACCGUUGUAUAGGUGUCCGUAACUAUACCCUUAUUUAGUGUCUAGAUACCGUUGUUUUUGUUCAUAGUGUCAAGCUGGUAGUUAUCUUACGGUUGGUUUUAUCCUGCCUUGAGGAGCCAUGUCAAGAGGUCUUCAUCACAGAUCCUGGCAAGGGCUUUAAAGGGAGUUUUUGCUAAGGCAGAUGAACUUCUAAGUACCACACCCAAUAGCUUUAUGCUUCAACAGUUUGAGAACCCUGCCAAUCCAAAGGUAGUUUUGCAGCAAAGUAGAGUAUUGUGGCUAGAGUCCAGAUUGCUUAGACAUUUCCUGAAUCUUUUUUCUUUUCAUUUGUGUAGGUUCCUUAAUCCUUAUGAAACCACUGGCCCGGAGAUAUGGAGAGACUCGGGAGGGAAAGUUGACAUCCUUGUUUCAGGGAUAGGGACUGCGGGCACUGUAACCAGAGCAGGGAGUUUCCUCAAACAGCAAAAUCCAAAUAUCAAGGUUGAAUUGGCUUUUGUGUAUAGAUAUAUUUUACGCGCAUAUUGAACUGACAUGGUCUAGUGGUGUGACUUCUUUUGUUCAUGUUUAGGUGUAUGGUGUAGAACCAGCAGAAAGUGCAGUCCUGAACGGUAGCAAACCUGAUGAGUUACUCUAGUGCUUUGUAAGAGAUGAAGGAGAUGCUACAGCCUAACAUAAGUAUUGUAGUUUAGUUUCAAUCAAUUAAGUGGUCAAAUCUGACUGAUGCAUCAUGCAUGUAAUGAUACAUAAUAUGCACGCUUGUGUUGAAGGGAUGCAUCUGAUCCAAGGAUUUGGUGCUGGUUUCAUACCUCAAGUUCUGGAUGUUAGCUUGCUGGAUGAAGUUAUUCAAGUAAGUCUGGAACUCAUCUGUACUGCUGUAAAGAUUAGACUUUAGAU